GAGAGAGGCCCGAGCGCACCGAUGACUGCUAAUUUUCGUCCCCUUGGUUAAACUCCAAGGCUCACUCA
rnacentral:tRNA from 1 species